CCUGUGGAGUCACUCAAACACACACAAUGCCCACAUGAAGAUGGGGAUAUGCGGUCUUGGAUGCCUAAUUUACUACUUAAAAUUAACACACACAAUUAGAUGAUUCCCUUUUCCCUCCCCUCCCCUUUUUUUUUUUUUUUUGUUUCUUUUUUUUUUUUUCUGUGACAGGGUCUGGCUCUGUCACCCAGGCUGGAGUGCAGUUACGCAAUCAUGGCUGACUGCAGCCUCAACUUCUCAGGCUCAAGCAAUCCUCCCGCCUCAGCCUCCCAAGCAGUUGACAAGAACGUCGGAAGAUGUUCUUCCUCAUCCCUCGUUCUUAUUUUGCAGUCCCUCCCUGCCCCUACAGCUGUUCUCUGAAAGCUGUCACCCUCAUCCACAAAAAGAUCUUGGAGGCCACAGGCAAGGCAGGGAGGGAAGCUCCGAGGACUGAUGCUGGCUCUCCUUCCUUCUCCUCCCAACUCCCCCUCCCAACUGGCACUGAAGGCAGGUGUUCCUCAGGCUCGGACCCUGCCUGCCUUUGUUCGUUUUCUCUCUCCUGUCUGCAGGCAUUCUGAUCCAUCACAAUGGCUGUUAACAUUCAUGACUCCCACAUCUC
rnacentral:lncRNA from 10 species